UACAGAGGGUGCAAGCGUUGUUCGGAAUUACUGGGCGUAAAGGGCGCGUAGGCGGCCUUCUAAGUCAGACGUGAAAUCCCCGGGCUCAACCCGGGAACUGCGUCUGAUACUGGAAGGCUUGAGUAUGGGAGAGGGAUGUAGAAUUCCAGGUGUAGCGGUGAAAUGCGUAGAUAUCUGGAGGAAUACCGGUGGCGAAGGCGGCUCACUGGCCCGGUACUGACGCUGAGGUGCGAAAGCUAGGGGAGCAAACGGG
rnacentral:rRNA from 1 species